rnacentral:rRNA from 1 species
UGGGGAAUUUUGGACAAUGGGCGAAAGCCUGAUCCAGCAAUGCCGCGUGUGUGAAGAAGGCCUUCGGGUUGUAAAGCACUUUUGUCCGGAAAGAAAUCCUUGGCUCUAAUACAGUCGGGGGAUGACGGUACCGGAAGAAUAAGCACCGGCUAACUACGUGCCAGCAGCCGCGGUAAUACGUAGGGUGCAAGCGUUAAUCGGAAUUACUGGGCGUAAAGCGUGCGCAGGCGGUUUGCUAAGACCGAUGUGAAAUCCCCGGGCUCAACCUGGGAACUGCAUUGGUGACUGGCAGGCUAGAGUAUGGCAGAGGGGGGUAGAAUUCCACGUGUAGCAGUGAAAUGCGUAGAGAUGUGGAGGAAUACCGAUGGCGAAGGCAGCCCCCUGGGCCAAAUACUGACGCUCAUGCACGAAAGCGUGGGGAGCAAACAGGAUUNGAUACCCUGGUAGUCCACGCCCUAAACGAUGUCAACUAGUUGUUGGGGAACUUCAUUUUCCUUAGUAAC